rnacentral:rRNA from 1 species
AGAACGAACGCUGGCGGCAUGCCUAAUACAUGCAAGUCGAACGAACUCUUCGGAGUUAGUGGCGCACGGGUGCGUAACGCGUGGGAAUCUGCCCCUUGGUUCGGAAUAACAGUUGGAAACGACUGCUAAUACCGGAUGAUGACGAAAGUCCAAAGAUUUAUCGCCAAGGGAUGAGCCCGCGUAGGAUUAGCUAGUUGGUGAGGUAAAGGCUCACCAAGGCAACGAUCCUUAGCUGGUCUGAGAGGAUGAUCAGCCACACUGGGACUGAGACACGGCCCAGACUCCUACGGGAGGCAGCAGUAGGGAAUAUUGGACAAUGGGCGAAAGCCUGAUCCAGCAAUGCCGCGUGAGUGAUGAAGGCCUUAGGUUGUAAAGCUCUUUUACCCGAGAUGAUAAUGACAGUAUCGGAAGAAUAAGCCCCGGCUAACGUCCGUGCCAGCAGCCGC